AACCCGUUCGCCGAAAGACCAAGGGUUCCAGUCCAACGUUAAUCGGGGCUGGGUGAGUCGGCCCCUAAGGCGAGGCCGAAAGGCGUAGUCGAUGGGAAAAUGGUUAAUAUUCCAUUACUUCUGUGUAAUGCGAUGAGAGGACGGAGAAGGCUAAAUCAGCCUGGCGUUGGUUGUCCAGGUGAAAGGAUGUAGGCAUGUAUCUUAGGCAAAUCCGGGGUACUCUAUGCUGAGAUCUGAUAGCAAGCUG
rnacentral:rRNA from 1 species